AGUAAUGCUGCACAUUACUUUUCAAUUGUGCUUCAGUUCCUCUUUUCUAUUUUUUGGAUAUAGCCCUUUACUAAGCGUUAGUUUAAAGUGUCUUUUCCUCUUGGUUGCAGAAAGAUUGCUUUGUUUGAAUGAACAGUAAUAUACAGAAGGGGUUGGGGCUGGAAUCACAAACAUAUCUGCCUGAUAGCACAUUACCAGUUCUAAAAGAAGCCAGGGACAAACCUUAAGAGAUGGUAAACACUAAAAGCAUGGCUCAGAAUUUGGUGACAGCAAAAUCUUUAUUUACUUUACCUUCAACUGAAAAGAUUCAACCUACAUUGCGUAACCAGCUGAUGGGAGGGUGGGCCGGAAAAAUCAGAAAACGACAGCAACAAUACAUUUUAGUGCCAAAAUUAAAAUUAAGACAAUUAGCCAAAGGAUUAAGAAAAAAGGUUAAUCAAGCUAAUAAGUGGUUCCAGAAGACCAACAAGCUGGUAGGUGAGACAAUCAACACCAUCAGUUUUGCAAACAAAACUGAGAAAUAUAUUGAAUUAAAUGCUAAUGAGGAUCUGUCUAAACCUAUAGAUUAGCUGUAUAGAGCUAUUAAAAUGGUAGCCAGAUAAACAUAUCAGCAAACUAAAUGAUGGAAAUUGGAGGUUUCCUAAAGAAAUAAUGAUAAGAAGGAAAUGUAGAACGAAUAGUGGUAAUUAACUGUGAAUUUAUUAGGUGCCAGAGAACUGAAAAAGGACAGAUUUAAUACCAAGAUUAAGUAGCAGAUCAAGGAAAUAAAUCUAAUCUCAAUAAGAGGUAAAAAGAAAAAUAGAGGAAUAUAUCUGUAAAUAUUACUAGCUACUAUUCAAAAAAUGCUUUAACAAGUUCCUAAACCAAUUGUGCAGACAAGCCCCAUAGAAGUCUUCCAGGUAAUUAUAAAAAUGGGAAUAUAAAGACAAUUGGGACCAGUACUGUUUUCAUAGUUUAAUAUAUUAAUUACAUCCUGGAACAUGUUCAUACUACAGCAUGCAUAUAGCUUAAUAGUGUGCACACUAUGUCAGGAGAGGCUGCAAACAAAAAGAAGCUAGAAAGAAAUCUAGACAAUUCAAAAAUAUGGACAAAUAGAACUAAGAUAAGGUUACACUUAGAUAAAUACAAGAUAAACUAUGCUGCCUGGCACCAAUAUAAAAAUGAAAGCUGAACAGUAAGAUGGACAAGAAUCUAGUGAGGAUGGCAGAAAAGGUAUAUACAGGCUUGCAGUGCAAUACUAUUAAAAGCCUCCCAGGUUAUUAAAUGCAAGACCAGGAAAGUUAACUAUAGUUCUACAGCCUCACAAAUGCUAUACUCAAUUUCUGGGGUCUUUUUCCUAAAAGGAUCAGUUCUAAUAAACUGAGAAGGGAGGGAAUGACUAAAUAGUUAGAGCUUUCAGAUGACACUUGAAACGGAGUGCCUGACUGCAAGUGGUUAUUAAAAGGCAGCUGGAAUCACUGAACUCUAAAAAGUCAAAAUUAACUAUUUAAGUCUGGGAAGGUUAAAGCUAUUUUGAGGCCCCUGUUAAGUUGCCUGACCAGGAGGCCUCUGUUGCUACUGCAUUACCUGCCAACAGAAUGCAACUCUGGAAGGCAGAGCCUCCAAGAGGAAGGGAGGCAUUAGGCACACAGGAUCACCAAAACAAGUCAUUUAAAAACAGACUAAAACUAGUAUUCUAUUCAACUAACCCCUGCUUCUGAACAGCAAAGGUCAUAAAGGUACUGUACCAGUCUGACUUUGUCCAAGAAUGUAGGUGUUAGCAGAUGUUCUGAAUAAAUUCAAUCCCUAAUUAUAUAUUCUGCCUCUAUUAGAUAUGAUAUUUACUCACUCUUCUGAAGUGUGGGCUCAUUGUGCUGCUAUCUUCCACCAGAGGUAGUCACAGUGAGACCCAUAUAUUUAAUACAUAUUUAGUUUGCACACAGCUUUGAGAAUUCUCAGGAUGAGAGUCAUAGUAUCUUACAUCAAUGUAAAUACGAUAGUGUGCCUUUCACAGAACCUUUGCAUAUACUGCUUUCUUCCAGAUUGCUGUGGACUUCUCCUACAUCUAAACUUCCAUUGAGGAGGAAAGUUUCUAGUCUUCCUGUCCGCAAUGAAAGCCUUAACAGGCACUUGGAAUGCCAAGAUGACCUACAUGCUUUUGAGAGACACACAAGGGGAAGCUUGAGUCCAUAAGACAGAUGUUCAGUCCCACAUAAACCAUGGACUAAUUCUGAAAGAACUCUUUGCAACUACAAAGCUCACCAUCUCUACUAUGAAACUGAUAUCAGAACUGUACUCAUGUCUGUAUGUAUACUGAUGUUUUAACCAAUACUCACUCACUUUUUUCCCCUUUUUAAUGAAUUUUUAGUUUAGUUAAUAAGAAUUGGCUGUAAGCGCAUAUUCAUUAACUUGGGAGGUAAUGUGUUCAAUCCUUUGGGAUUAGUAGAACUUUCGUAUUUGACUUGGCUGCCUAGGAGGGAGCCCAAACACUGGACUGCUUUUAAGGGAACUGUGUUUUGACUUCUGGGUAAUUAGUAAGGUAUUAUAGAAGCUGUUUGUGCUGGCUUGAUAAAUCUAAGUAUUGGACUAUCCAUUAGCUUUGGGGAUUGUCUGCCCCAUUCUUUGCAGUUUGCCCUAAUUGUGCCUCAGUGUGGCCACCCCCUGGGACCCUGGUCACCAGGGCACUAUAGAAACACACAUGGAAAAUAACCGGUUCAGUGUAGGGUUUGCAUGACAAGUGUUAACACCUGGAGACACUCAAUGAAUGAGGCAGGGGUCCCAUGGAAAAGGUCAUAUAUGAUCACAUAAUUCAGGACUUUCACAACACAUGCCUGUGGAAUUUUAAUUCAAGCCCUUCCUGUGCAACAUCUUCAUCAAUUGUGGCUUAUUUAA